AAUGGCUGAGAGGGAAUGCCUGUGGUUUCCCAACCCAAUUCAGACUACUCUCCCUCCACU
rnacentral:RNase_P_RNA from 2 species